rnacentral:rRNA from 1 species
UACGGAGGGUGCGAGCGUUGUCCGGAUUCAUUGGGCGUAAAGGGCGCGCAGGCGGCUCGGAAAGUCGGGUGUGAAAACUCGGGGCUCAACCCCGGGCGUGCAUCCGAUACUGCCGGGCUUGAGGCAGGUAGGGGAGAUCGGAAUUCCUGGUGUAGCGGUGAAAUGCGCAGAUAUCAGGAGGAACACCGGUGGCGAAGGCGGAUCUCUGGGCCUGUCCUGACGCUGAGGCGCGAAAGCUAGGGGAGCGAACAGG